CAAAUCCAGACAAAAACAAACAAAAACCACGAAAAGCUACUGGUCUGACAAGUGUUUCAAACUGGUCAGAGUUGUCUUUUCACCACUAGAUUCCACCUCAAGCUGCCAAGAAGCCAUUUUUACAGAUAUUUCGUAGAAAUCCCGUUGUUCAACUAUAGAAAACAUCACAGGAGUUAGUCUUGUUUUUGAACCGACGGUUUAUAUUUACACUUUGAAACGACCCA
rnacentral:lncRNA from 1 species